AAAACCUCUGCUGAGUGACUCCACCCACAAAAUGAUGAACACCAGGGUUCAAAGGGGCAGAACUUCAGAUGCAGUCAGCAGAGGCAGAAUGAUCGCUUCAGUCCUGAGCGUUUGUUUCCUUCUGCUGUCAGGUUCCUCUGGAAAAACACAAGUUUAUCAAACUCCGAGUCAAAUUUACAGCAAACCAGGACAAGAGGCCAAGAUCUACUGCUCACACAGGGAAUCCAACUAUGACCAAAUCCUCUGGUACAAGCAGUCAGAGGGGCAGAUGCUCCUCCUGGGAUAUGUGUACUUCAGGGACACUUAUCCAGAGGCGGGACUGGGAGUGAAGUUGGGCGGAGGAGCAUCCAAAGACCAAAACUGCACGUUAACAGUAGAAGACGUCAACAGCAGCAGCAGUGCAGUUUACUUCUGUGCUGCCAGGUCCCACAGUGACGCCUGUGGUUGAUUCUCCGCACAAAAACCAAACCUCCACCCCUUCACCCCUCAGUCACCCCUCCAGGGUUUUCAGUUCACUGCCGUUCAUUUUACAGCAAUGCAAGAGAAAAAACAGUUUGAAUGUUAAAAACCUGCAGAUAUUUGCUGAACUGUUUCAUCAACACAAGGAAAAGAGUUACGCUGAACCUUAGAUCUUAUAUGACACAAAUCCCCUUAAAAUCCUCACCUGUUUAUCUUAUGUUAAACGUUUUCUUUCUGUUUAUGACUCUGUGAAAAAUAUUUAACAGCUUCCAGCUGAGGCGUCUGCAAAGAUGAGGGAGCUAAAAUCCACUGAAAGCACAACAUUCUGUCAUGAUCUCGAAACUGGACAGACCCAGGUGCCGGAACCCGGACUGCCAGAGGCA